CUCCUACCUCAGGAAUGGCAGCAGAAAAAGUCCUGAAAGCCCCAAGUGAUCUGGUUAUAAUUCUUUUGUCAGUUGCUUGGCAUCUAGCACCCAGGUCCUAACCAUCUCUCCAUCCUUUUGUUAUUAGUUCUUACUGGAAGCCCAGUGUCAUUUAGAGGCUGAGUCUCUUGAGAGAUGAAAUCACCAAGCUGACACUGAAGGGAGGUACUCCUUAAGGGAAAAUCUAAGUCCAGAGAGACAGUCGGUAACAGAUAGGCUGCCCCUUUGCUUGCCUUUCUGUUUCACAGGCACAAAGCUUGUGCUUAUUUUUGCACUGGUCUUUUUGUCCCAAGAAAGCUUUCUCGUUUAAGUGUGUGACUGAAUGCUAGUUGUCCUCUUCGGCGGAUGUCUAUUUUCUACUCUUCUUUUUCUCACCAGUCCACUUGAGAUGCUUGCUUAUAGCUGUUACAGGUCCUCUUUACCACCGAGGAAAGACAGAAUCCUACUAGAGGCCAGAAAAAAUGUUCCAGACAUAGAUGGAAGGCCCUCACUCCUGCCUGUUGACUUCAAUACCCCUGAAGGUAGGGAGUGGUUCGGGUAUAUCACCAGGCUCCAGUGGUGGAUCUCUGAGGGGAUGGAAAAUGCCCCAUCAAUUUGGCUAAGCUGGCAGCAGCGUAUGCCCUGGGGACCCCUGAGACAUCUCACCAGUUCCAGGUCGGAGACUCUGUCUAUGUACAACAACACCAGGCCCAGAUACUUUGAGCCUCACUGGAAAGGACCAUACCUUUGGAAUAAUAUGUGGAAAGGACACUCACCAGCCGUGUACUAGCUGUUGGGACUGGGGGGCUGGGACACAUAGGUACAUUCGGAUCUUUAAAAUCUUAAAAAUCUCCCUAGACUUGCAUGUCAGAUAAGUGGAUACAUCAGAGACGUGAUUGGGGGUUGCUGUAAUGCUCACUUGAGGAGUGUGCUUUGGAAACAAGAAUUUUAUGUUUGCCUUGGAUUCCAUCGAGAUGGGUCCCUCAAACAUAGACUUGAUUUCUAUUGCAAAUGAUGUAACAUCCCCUUACUAUGAAGGCAUUGCAUAUGUUAGUACUCCUAACACUUCUUGGGCCUGUGCCUCAGGGAUCACAACCUAUAUAAGUUCAGAAGUUCUAAAAGGCAAUCAUGACUUUUGUGCAUUAGUUCAGAUAGUGCCCAGAUUGUUAUACCAUCCUUAUGAGGACAUACUGAACUAUUAGGAUCCUGAUACUAGAGACUUAGUAAGACACAAAAGAGAGUUGGGGAUUACUCUGGCAAUUAUCUUAGGACUGAGUUUAGGUGAUGCAGGGGAAGCUACAGGGACAUCUGUCAUUGCCCUACAACACAAGGCUAAUGGAGAAUUGAGGACUGCCAUUGACUUACAUAUAGAAAGAAGAGAAAAGAUUUUAACUGACCUCCAAGAAUCACUGACCUCUCUCUCAGAGGUAGUCCUUCAGAAUAGGAGAAGAUUAGACCUGAUAUUCCUUAAAGUAGGAGGUCUGUGUGCUGCAUUAAAAGAAGAAUGUUGUUUUUAUAUAGAUCACUCAGGAAGAGUUAAAGAUAAUUUGGCUAAGAUUAGAGAAAGAUUAAAACUAAGUUUUUAAAAAGAGAGAGAGAGGUAGAGCUCAAGACAAAAUUUGGUUUGAAACCUGGUUCAAUUCUUCCCCUUGGUUCACAACUCUAGUUUAUUGUUUAUUAGAGAACACAUUAGUAUAGUGCAGAUAAUGGUGUUAAAACAGCUAUGUUAGCCCAUCACUAGGGAUGAGAUUGAGUUAUGAUUUUAAGAUUAAAACCAUGAUAAAAGAAAAAGGGGGGAUGAAGAAAUAUAGUUUAAUAGAUGUGAGAAACAAAGUUGUAAAAACAAGGUUUUGAGAAAUAUAUCUGGUGGUCAGGAUGCCUAUGACAAACUUGUGACCUUUCUGAGAGAUACAUCUGACAUCAGGAUGCCCAGUGAUAUGAUAAAGUUUCAGUGAUCAAGAUUCUGACUAAGCUAAUUAAGACAAAACAAAACAAAACAAACAAACAGAAAAAACCAAAACUGUUCUUGGAAAGACCCCCUUAUCCCCCGCUCUGGUAAAUUCUGAGAACAACCACAAGAUGUCAUCCUGACCCUGCCCGACCACUCAGUUCACCCCCCACCCCCAAGGGACUUGCCAACAUAGCCCUUUCCCAGUUAUUUUCCAAGGCCAGGUGUAGGGCUGGCUGAGGAAAGUACCUAACUGAGCCAAGAACAGCUCCUUGAGCAGGCCAACCAAUACCUGACCAGAUCCUUUGUCCUGUGUACCACCAAUGAGAAUAAACCAGAUAACCCUGUUGCUGAAGUCUGCCCUCUGUAAAGAAUAAAAGUUGUGUGCUUUUUGGGUUUGGGGUUGCCUCUCCCUGGGUGGAUUAAAAACCUUAUACCCUCA
ensembl:lncRNA